rnacentral:rRNA from 2 species
GUCCGGAUUGGAGUCUGCAACUCGACUCCAUGAAGUCGGAAUCGCUAGUAAUCGUGGAUCAGAAUGCCACGGUGAAUACGUUCCCGGGCCUUGUACACACCGCCCGUCACACCAUGGGAGUGGGUUGCAAAAGAAGUAGGUAGCUUAACCUUCGGGAGGGCGCUUACCACUUUGUGAUUCAUGACUGGGGUGAAGUCGUAACAAGGUAACCGUAGGGGAACCUGCGGUUGGAUCACCUCCUUA